rnacentral:miRNA from 1 species
AUAUUCCAUUAUAUAUAUGUAUAUGUGUGUGUGUGUGUGUGUGUGUGUGUGUGUAUACACACACACACAACAUUUGGGUUAUCCAUUCAUCUGU